GUGCUUGACACCAAAUUGCAUAACAAAAACAUAGACCAGCAAAAAUAAAUUUCUUGCUUUUAGCUGUAGCAUUCACUGACAUAAAAAGAAAAAGAAAAAAAAAAGAAACAAGCAAGUUGUGUUGCACUUUUGUGAAAGCAACGCCCAUACCCCUCUUAUGUACACUAUUGCUAGCCUCAUUUAGCUGGGAUAAUCACAAGGAAGAAGAAUCCCAGGGAACAAUUGUUCCCCUUUGUGUGUGUAUUUGUGUAAAGGUUAUAGAGACCUGCCUAAAGAGACUCCAAGGAAUAAAUUGUUAAUGUCACCUAUGAGGAAUAGGAAAAUCUGAACAAAAUGUUAACUAGGGUGCCCAUGAAGGACAUUGAAACAGUUGCAGGGGGUGGGGUAGGACUUGUUGUUAUUUAUAAUAUAAUAUGCCCCUAGAGUAUAUGUUUGAGAAGUGUGUGGCUACUCAAACUAGCCACCAUAUUUUGAAUAGUGCAAGACUGGAGCCUUUCCAUUGUAGUUAGGGAGCACUUUGUUCAUAUGGCAGCUUGGUGCUGGAAUCCUCUUACCUAAGUAUCUCACUCCCCCGUGUGUGUGUGUGCGCGUGUGCGCGUGUGUGUUGGGAGCGGAAGAUGGGAUACACUUCAGUGGGUUGAGGGGAAAGGGGCGACCAGGGAGAACAAAAAGAGAGGAAUAAAGCAUUUAGGGCCAAAUUUACAAAAACAUCUCUGUGCACCUAAUUAUUUACACGUGCGACUAGUGAGAGGUGAUGCUCUGGAAAACUUCUAAGAAACACAAACUAUCUUUAGAAGGCCACCCUCAUUUCUUGCAUCGGUAAAAUACUCUCUCUGUGAGAAAGGUUCGUUUACUGGCAAAGGUUUGAGAAAAUCUGCGGCCACCAUUACCCCUUUGUAAACACAUUUUGCCACUUGGGGGCGGUGUGAUGCUAGAUAAAUAAUACAAGUAACAGCCCGUUCUUCUGUCUCCUGUUCUCUGCCCGCCCCUGACACAAACCUAGACUCCUUUGUUUUUCAGACGUUCCCAUUUCUGACAGUCCCACUGAGGAGGAUUUACAGAGCAGAGAGACCCACUCCUGUGAAUUUGGGUCAUGCUGUUCCGAUAGCUUUUGCUCAGAGACACAACAUUUAUUUUAAGGCACAUUUUAAGGACAGAAUUUUUGCCUUCCCUAAACUGGAGCUACUAGGCACGAAGACAGAUCAAUUCUUGCUGGAUUAUGAAAUUAGCUGUAUUUAGUCAAACAAUCAUUAAGUCAAGGAUGUCUGCAAUUUGGCUCUCCGCUGUUACAGUCUUAGCUUUUCUAAAAGGCACCUAUGGAGCAGACUCAGUGACCCAAACUGAAGGCACCGUUACCAUCUCCCAAGGGGAUCCGGUGCAUCUGAAUUGUACAUAUCAGUUUUCUGCCUCUGCUAUUCCUUACCCCUUCUGGUACGUGCAGCUCCCCAAACAGCCCCUCAGGCUCUUCCUGAGGGACCUGGGAAGGGAGGACUCGGAUGAAGGGAUCACCAAAGGGUUCAAUGCCACCCACGACAAAAAGGUCAAAUCCUUCCAGCUGUGGAAAGCGGCCAGCGAACUGAGCGACUCCGCGACCUAUUACUGCGCCCUGAGCGACACAGUGACACGGACCAGCGGGGGAGCUGAGCAAAAACCGCGCAGGAAGGCACCUAUGGAGCAGACUCAGCGACCCAAACUGAAGGAAGCGUUAUCAUCUCCCAAGGGGAACCUGUGCGUCUGAAUUGUACCUAUCAAUUUUCUGCCUAUGCUACUCCUUAUGCAUUCUGGUACGUGCAGUAUCACAACCCCCCACCCCCAUACUCUUCCUGAGGGACCUGAGUGU